rnacentral:rRNA from 1 species
GAUGAACGCUGGCGGCGUGCCUAAUACAUGCAAGUCGAGCGAAUGGAUUAAGAGCUUGCUCUUAUGAAGUUAGCGGCGGACGGGUGAGUAACACGUGGGUAACCUGCCCAUAAGACUGGGAUAACUCCGGGAAACCGGGGCUAAUACCGGAUAACAUUUUGAACCGCAUGGUUCGAAAUUGAAAGGCGGCUUCGGCUGUCACUUAUGAUGGACCCGCGUCGCAUUAGGUAGUUGGUGAGGUAACGGCUCACCAAGGCAACGAUGCGUAGCCGACGUGAGAGGGUGAUCGGCCACGCUGGGACUGAGACACGGCCCAGACUCCUACCGGAGGCAGCAGUAGGUAAUCUUCCGCAAUGGACGAAAGUCUGACGGAGCAACGCCGCGUGAGUGAUGAAGGCUUUCGGGUCGUAAAACUCUGUUGUUAGGGAAGAACAAGUGCUAGUUGAAUAAGCUGGCACCUUGACGGUACCUAACCAGAAAGCCACGGCUAACUACGUGCCAGCAGCCGCGGUAA